rnacentral:rRNA from 1 species
CCUACGGGUGGCUGCAGUGGGGAAUAUUGGGCAAUGGGGGCAACCCUGACCCAGCGACGCCGCGUGAGGGAAGAAGGCCUUCGGGUCGUAAACUUCUUUUGUACGUGAAGAAGCAGAUGACGGUAGCGUACGAAUAAGUCCCGGCUAACUACGUGCCAGCAGCCGCGGUAAUACGUAGGGGACGAGCGUUGUCCGGAAUUACUGGGCGUAAAGGGCGCGCAGGCUGCGCGUCGAGUCGGCUGUUAAAGAUCCGGGCUUAACCCGGUGAAGCGGUCGAGACCGACGAGCUGGAGUGCUGCAGAGGCAAGUGGAAUUCCCGGUGUAGCGGUGAAAUGCGUAGAUAUCGGGAAGAACACCGGUGGCGAAGGCGACUUGCUGGGCAGCAACUGACGCUGAGGCGCGAAAGCCAGGGGAGCAAACGGGAUUAGAUACCCCAGUAGUC